rnacentral:tRNA from 1 species
GCAGUGGUAGUUCAGUGGUAGAAUUCUCGCCUUCCAUGCAGGAGACCUGGGUUCAAUUCCUGGCCCAUGUA